ACCGGCCUGUUGAGAUACCGAAAAAAUGGCACGGCCCGUAAAAUUAUUAUGGGCGGCCUGUAAACCGUCUGCGUUUCCGCUAUAUAUACUGGAGCGGCCGUGAUUUAAGGUUCCCAUCCGCUAUCCCCCCCCCCCCCCCCCCCCCCCCCCGCCGCAAAUCGUUAGCUCCGACGAGAAAUCCUUCUUUCUCUGGCCGCAGUUUGCCGCGCGCAGGCACCUAGAGCUUACCCCAGUGUCAAGCGCUGGUCGCGGGAGGGGUGGCAGAGGGGGAAAGCGCCGACAUGAUGACGAGGCGGGAAGCUCCUCCCUCCGCCCGCCGGUGGAGGAGUGGCGCAAAGUGCAGGCACGGGAGCGCAGCGCGCACUCCCGCAGCGGUGGCUCGCGGGAGUGGCGCAACUUCGAACGUCUCAACAAGAUCUUCUGGCCCGCACCCAAGCGCCUCCGGGAGGCGGAGCACGCGUGGUACGAGGCGAAGGAGGUGGCCACCACCGGGGAAGAAGGUGCCACGAUGCGGGUGGAGGCGGCGAAGAAGGAUUUACGACCCGGCGUUCGUCCUCUCCAACUCCUUGAUGAAGUACCACCUCCACGUCAAGAAGCAAGAUGAGUGUGCAACUUCUCGGGAGAUGGAAAGUGAUAUGCUCGAACAUAUUCACCGAAAAAGGUUCGCGCCCCCCCUUUAUAGAUUCCACGGGAAAAAUGCUAUAUGGUGAAAAUCAAUCCUAUACAUGGAAAGAAGCAAAAUGGAGAUAGAAGAAAUCAAGUGGGAGGUGCACUAGCACCAACAGAACGCAGGAUGGCGUUUGGUACGAGCAUGUGUGCUCGUACCAGCCGUCCACAACACCGCGAUGUCCACUCCAACAACUUCUAUAAAGGGACCCAUACCUGACUCGUGAAGAGCAGAUACCAGAACCUCCAUCUCCGCAUCAGAAGCCAUUCACAGACCCUAGCUGUCGCCAUUUCCCAUCUCAUAUACAUAGCCACCACCAUCUUCACCAGCACAACAAUCCAUCUCCAAGUUAGCCGUACUUGUAAUCUUGUAUCACAUCUGGCAACCAUUUUAAGACAUAUUAUCAAUAAAGCUUUCACCUUGAUGUCU